CUCUUUUUUUUUUUUUUUUUUCUCUCUUUCAAAUCUAGAUGGUCAGGAUCUUUCUUUAGAUUUUCAAUUGUUACACUCUUUAUUAGAAUUAUUUGCAGAAGGAUUUGAAUUCGAUGCAAAUUUUUAGAACGAACACUUCUUAUAAUACAUAUACUUGUAUUAUUUGUUGGUACAGACCCAUGUAGAACUGGGAGAAUCUGAGCGAUAUUGUGGUGAAUUAAGCCCAUUACAUUGGAAAGUCUUGUACAUUUUCAAAUUGCUUAAAAGUCUCUUUUUUUGCUGUCACUACUCAAAAGGUAUGGACCAGCAAUGACAAAAGCAAGUAGAGAGUACAGAUAGCUACUUGAAUCAUGAAUAUGAGCCUAGCUUCUGCUGGUUCGACUCGUAAAUGUUUUGGCUCCUAAAUGUAAUAUGAAUUCCUUCAUUCUGGCUAGGGAAUUAGUGAUUCCCAUCACGAUAAUCUGUCUCAUCGAAGAUCUCCUCCUAUAUGCGCAAGAUAAGUAGGGCAUGAAAUCUUUUGUUGUGAAAAACAAUCUUUGAAAAAGGAAAAGCAAAGGUGAAAAAAUUCGCAUACUUGUAAUAGCUCUUCAAUGACAUCUUCCAAUGUAAUUAUGCCAAUAGCCUCCCCCUCUUCGGCGAGACUUUGAAGGGAAUUGUCAUCGAAUUGCAGGAUUUCUGAGUGAACCCCAUUUGCCCAUUUCUUGCUUUUGGAUGUUACCCUGUGCAGACUUGUAUCGCUAGGAAGACUCUUCAGCUUCUUGAGUGAUCUGUUGCGCUUUAAACUUUUUUUCUGUGUGAGCUUCUCGCCAUCAAUGUCCACCCUUACAUCUCUGACUAAAUUGUGUUGUGUUUUAUGGAAUGUAUUAGUUCCAAAAGAAAAUUGUCUGGGAGACUAAAGGAGAACACACUUGUUGCUUACCAUGAGCAGUGCUUUCGCCAGCUGAUUUCUCUGUGUCACCAUGUUGUCUUACGACGACAGCCAUAUGGCUAUGACCCUUCUGAAACUCAUUUAGUAUGUCAUAAAGAGGCAUUGUCUCUGAAACCCUGCCACAUAAACCAUUAUCCUAAUUCAUCAGAAUUCAUCCACAUACUUAUGCAUGUUGCGACAGGAAAACAUUGCAAAAUCAGGCCAGAGGGUGGCCAGAGAUAUCACAAAUUAUUGUAAUAUGACUUCAAACAGCUGUCCACAAUUGCUGUUAGGCAAGAACUAGGAGUUCAUUUUUGCCUGAAAAACGCAGACAGAAAGGAAAGGAAUGCGUCCAGAUUAAUGUUCAUAUAAUGUUCGUAUGACAUGAUUAUUUUCUGUUUAAGUUCCACAAUGUCUGUCAAAAUCUGAUGGAUUAGAUAAAUCAAAGGAGUAAGAAUAAUGAAGCCAUGCAUGGGAUUUCUAUGCUGUGAUGGUAUUGAUUGAAGCUUAGAUAAUCAACAUAAAAUUUCUUCAAUGAUUCACUUUCUUCUAUGAAAAGGCUUAUUAGGAUAGGAGCUGCCAAAGCAUUUCUUCGUUUGGAUUUUCCGUGUGUAAUGUUUUCCUGGAUUCUGGGCAGCAAGAUUCAAUUUAAGCAUCUACCACUUAUUAAUCUCAAACAGUUUCUGUUUUUGCCAGUCAUACGCUCACUUUAAAAUCUCCAGUUAUUGGUAAAAGCGAUGAAGUGAUAAUGGAAAUGUGAGCUAAAUGUAGAACAACUUUAAUAUACCUUGGGAUUUUGCGAAUAGUCACAUUCUUCACAGGAACUUCAUCUUCUGGAUGAAUGGUUAACAAAUUCUUAACCUGCAAUUUGGUUAGAAUCAGUAAAGACUUCGUUUUACAUGCAUCCUGAUGCAGGAAAUGGAUUGCAAAGACGGCAGGAAAUCCUGAUAAACUGUGAUGUGAAGCAGGCCAAAGGACUUUGGUAAAUGAAAUGAAAUUAAAUAAAGAAAAAAAAAAGAGAACAACUAUUAUUAAUUACAUGAAAAUAUCCUGAAGUAACUUAACAAGUGAUUACCAAGACAAGUCCAAUUAGGUUUCUUGGAUGCUCAUGAUAAACUGGCACUCUGCUAUGCCCUUUCUCCAAAAUUAACAUCAUCAAAGCUCUGCAAAUUAGCUUUUAGCAAUCAUGGAAUGUGCCUUAUUUUCAAGAUAAUCAAUGCAUUUAAAUAAAUAAGUAAAUUUCAUUUUUCCCUUGAUGAAAACAAAACUUAAAUACCGGUCAAGUUUAGCAUUUAUAUCAAUGGAAAAGGUUUCAGAUAUGGGUGUCAUUGCAUCUUUUGCCGUUUUCUCAGUGAGUUCAAGUGCUCCUGCAAUGAUCGUCGUCUCAUCUCUCGUCAGUUCUCCUCCUUUGCCGGCCUCAUUACCAUGCAAAUCUACAAGUGUUUUCAACUCAGCUCUGCGGAAAAGAGCAUCAUGUCCCUCCCCCAACAAAAAGUCCAGUAGCUUGCUUAUUGGAUACGCAACAGGAAAACAAAUCCAAACAAGAACUUGAACAAUUGGAGCCACUGCUGCACCAAUUGCCAAGCCAUAUCGAGAACAAACAGCUUGGGGAAUAAUCUCACCAAAUAAAAGUAUCAAGGUCACAGAAAUAAGAAUGGCACCCCAAGCUGAUACCAAACCAUCCAAAAAAAUGGGUAGUGCCUCCAUAGCAGCAGCAUUACAGAUUAAUAAGGUGCAGAGCAGCAGGUGUUGCCUUUUCACAACUGGCAAUAUUUUUGUUGCGUGCUUACGAUCGGUAGGCGUUCCAGACUUGGCAAGAACCUCAAGAUCGACGAGACUCAUAGACAUGAGACCUAAGGUGAGUCCAGACAUCAACCCGGCAAACAAUACCAGGAAAAUAGCAAUAGCAAUGUGGACGAAGAACCCAGUUCCACAGCAACUAUACUCCACUGCCAUAGAUUUUUUUUUU
rnacentral:misc_RNA from 1 species